UGAAAUGUAUUAGGAAUAUAAUAAUCACAUAACUAUGAUUUUGAUUAUGAAUUCGUAUAUAUUUGAUUAUUUACUUUGAAAACAAUUAAAAAGCUCAAAUUAAGUAAUUCAGGCAACACCAAUAGCAAAAAUUCUGAUCCACCAAGGCACCUCAACAGAAAGUCCAAAUCAUGCGCAACACCACCUAUCAAGUACCCAAUUCUGAGAAUGGUUACAUGACAUACAAGGCAGAGAACAAGAACGUAAAGGGCAAAUGGAAGACCAAACUAUAGCAGAAGUAAAUAAAACGGAGUUUAGAUAGCACACUACCAGAUGUAUACUCCCUCUGUUGCCGGAGAUUGCAGCUUCCAGCCACGCGCUGUUGCCGGAGAUUGCAGCUGCCAGCCAUGCGCUGCUGCUGNNNNN
rnacentral:lncRNA from 1 species